rnacentral:lncRNA from 1 species
CCACUACAUGAACCAUUUUGAACCACUCUUUUUUUUAAACAAUGUUACCAUUAUGUGUCUAAACUAACACUAAUACAUGUCUUGCUAUUUCCACAGGCCCUACGGAAAGAACUCCAUGGUAUGUUUUCUGUUUGUCACAUACUCUAGAGCAUCUCAUUUGUGUUCUUUAUUUCAGUAUGUGGUUGUUUGUGUUUACUGUAUGGCUGUGUCUUAAAAUUUAGUUCUGUCUGCUCCCCAGAGAAAGGAUCAAAAAUGGAUGACGGAGAACUUCAGCUCUUGGAGCACAGAUAUGAGGCAAAAAUUGCGGAGCUGAACUUAGAGAACAAAAAGCUGCAAGACUAUAUCCACGACUGUGUGACUUCUCAGCACCACACAGAGCAGGAACAUGAAGAUAUGAAGGUGUUAGCCAGAAAGAGAGUGCACAAGCUACAGACAGAUGUCGAGUCUUACCAGAAAGAAAACGCCACUUAACGGACCAGGUGAUGGACGUAUAUUUUGCAAAAUGAAAUAGAAUUCUAAAAGAUAUCGUUGGACAUAAUACAAAAUAACAAUAUCUGUAAUAUAGUUAUAGAUUGUCAAAUACAAUGCUGGAGUGUGUAAUAGUCAUACCAAUAAAUAAAAAUGAAUACAAAAAAUGUAAGUAUAA